CUAAGAACCCUGAUUGACCAGGAAGAAAAAAAAUUAAGUCUGAAUCAUGUCCCUCAAGAGCUUGGCACACACGUGAUUUCAAUACAGUCCGUGUUCUGGAGGAAAGACGGGACUCUUGGAGCUUCAGUAAGGAACACAAAGGCCUUUGACUGCAAGGAACUCAGUCUACUGGGAGAGAUGGAUACAUCAACAGAAUCAUCGAAAUGCCUUUCCUUUAAAGCAAAGACCAUUCAGAAUCAAAGGCUCAUUUCCUGGAAAUACAGGGCUGGACGGCAGCCAUCCCUCAAAUGAGGCCCCAUGGAGAAGACUUGGAAAUGCACGCUCCCAACUCAGGUUUCCAGUGGAUGCAUAUUAAACCCCAAGGACUGGAAGCUGAGGUCAUGGAUUGCUUUCUCAUUGCUGUCAAGGUGCCCAAAAAAAAGAGACACUGUUUGCACCCCCGGGCUCACUGGUUCAGUCUUUCUCCUUCUUCCCCGGCUUCUCACCACUCCUCAUGCACUGUCAGUAGAAGCCCUGCCUCUACCUGCAAUAGGAAACUGAGCCGAGAGACGGUCCCCUUACGGCCUCUAACCUGCGCAUCUCAGGCACGAGGAAAUACGGAAGCAGGACAAGAAGCAAGAAAACAGAGACCAAGAGAGAGGCCGAAGCAAAUUAAUGCUGAACACUGGGGAGAAGCCCAUCCUUCUUCAGCUGCUGGUGAGUCGGUAUGAGCAGUAUCGGUCUACUCCUUAAUCCCCUAGCCCUUCAGUGGCUCUGGCUGACUCCGGCUGCCAGUGUCUACAUCCCUGGGUCUAAAGGCCUUAUUUCCAGAAGCUAUAGCAGGCUAGAGGCAUUGCAGAAUUAGCACCUCUCUAGAGCAGUCCUCAAUCAAUGGCUCACAGGGGUUGAUACGCCAGCUCCCUCACCCGUUGGGCUGGGUAUAUCUGGGUUAGUGUUUUGCAUCAUGUCACAGUGAGAGGAAGCUUUUAUGGCCCACUGUGAUUGUCUUAAUCACACAUCCUUUAUUGGCUGCCUGCUACUCUGUUCUCUUCCCUUCUCUACCGGUGUUUCCUGCACCUCCCAAAUAAAGCAGUUGCAUGUUAAUUCUUGUCUCA
rnacentral:lncRNA from 1 species